rnacentral:rRNA from 1 species
UACGGAGGGUGCAAGCGUUGUUCGGAAUUAUUGGGCGUAAAGGGCGCGUAGGCGGUUGUGAUAGUCAGAUGUGAAAUCCUCCGGCUUAACUGGAGAACUGCAUCUGAAACUUCAUAGCUAGAGUACAGGAGAGGGAAACGGAAUUCCCGGUGUAGAGGUGGAAUUCGUAGAUAUCGGGAGGAACACCAGUGGCGAAGGCGGUUUCCUGGCCUGAUACUGACGCUGAGGCGCGAAAGCGUGGGGAGCAAACAGGAUUAGAUACCCUCGGUAGU